UACGGGGGGAGCAAGCGUUGUUCGGAUUUACUGGGCGUAAAGGGCGCGUAGGCGGCCACCGCAGGUCAAUUGUGAAAUCUCCGGGCUUAACUCGGAAAGGUCAACUGAUACUGCGGGGCUAGAGUGCGGAAGGGGCAACUGGAAUUCCUGGUGUAGCGGUGAAAUGCGCAGAUAUCAGGAGGAACACCGAUGGCGAAGGCAGGUCUCUGGGCAUUAACUGACGCUGAGGAGCGAAAGCAUGGGGAGCGAACAGG
rnacentral:rRNA from 1 species